AGUUGAAAAUGAAAAUUUCAUUGUUUUUAUUCUACACUUUAUUGCACACUGCGAUACAUCGCGAUCGUCUUCAUGCGUUAAAAUUUAUGCAGCAAAAGAUUUGUUACUUUCUUCGAAUGUCGAAUACGUUCCAAAAGCGAAAUGAAAACAUCGCGAAUGCAAAAUGAUAUAUCUUCUAGGCUGAAUAAAGACAAACACCCCGGUAAAAAAAAACCCUCAUAACGGAUUUCUGGUACGAUAGCGUUGUUUGCGGUGUUUGCAGUGUCUACACGCGACACUUUGCUUGCUCGCUUGAAAACAUCAUUUGGUGUAUUUGCCCUGUAACUUAACGCUAUAUUUUCCCUUUGUCGAUCUUCUUGCUUUUUAGGCGAUAACGUACACCGCUAUCUCUCCUGUUUCCUCCUGAGAGUCCUCGUACUGGGUUUUUUUAAAGAUAAAAAUUAGCGUCGACCAUUUUUAUGAUUCUUCUCAUAUCUUCAAAAUGUUCUCGCUUUUUAAUUUUUCGAGAUUGUGGAAUGAUAAAUGCUGCAAACGUUUUUUGUGACGUAAUUUUGAAUAAACGCUGCAAUCGCGACGCAUCAGAUAUAAGAGAAGGUUUAAGAUACGAGGAAAGGAGAUGCGAAGGUUGACGAUGAGCAAGCAGGCAGGCGAGAGUCAGAGAGGCAGAUGUUUCUUCAUAAAGAACGAAGGAAGAAUCGUAUCCAGCAAUUGCAUACCGGAUACGUCGACAGAACCCGUUGCAGAAUCGUAGGCUCGAUUAAAAAUGUAAACUUGUUUAUCCGACAAAGUUGUCUUUUUUUGAUUUGCAAACUCGACUUUAUUGUGAUAAGCUUGCGAUUUCAACAUCAUCUCGAGUAGCAAGUCUUCGCGACAACUUAGAAGAAUAUUCCUUAAAACUUGUAUUCUUAUUCGUCUAAGAACAAGAUUAGUCGCUGUUUAAGAAGAUUUAAAAUAAUUGUGCGGUAAAAAAAUCUUGGUAGAUCUUCUUGAUAGAUAAAUAAUUUGUGAAUAUUAUACGAGAGGAUUUCUUUAUGAUGUUUCUUUAGACCAAGUGCAGAAUAGUUUUACAUAAAUUUACAUAUUCUCUAAAUGAUGACGGAGUAGCUCCAUUGAAUGUUAAUGUUUGAGUCGAAUGUUGGCGUGGACCACUUCGUUUCGUCUAGAUGUACCACGUGCUCCUCUCUUUUUGCCGCUUAGCUUCUCAGAAAGACGCGGAGCAACUUCCUUCCAUCGCAACCCUCACUAUUCCAUAUCUUCGUAUCUUCAUCCAAUGAAGAUUCUAACACAGCUAGCCUGGCUAUCAUUAUUGCCUAACCACAUAUACAACACUUAUUCAUCUUCCGUAAAAGGAUAUUACACUACACUAUCGCGGAAGUAGACAAUCCCGUCGCACGUUCUUUCCUUGCGAACAUGUUAUACUCCAGUUCCGGAUCACAUCAAGAAGUACGAGAGAACGAAAACACAGUUUUCCUUCGUACAGUUUCACAGCUUAAACGGCACGAUCGCACAGAGAAAGGAGAAGGAGCACGGAACUACCUGCACGCGGCGCCGUGCACCCGUACCUGAAACCAGACUCACGGUGUGCUGGCGAAUAUCCCCCACCCUCUCUUCUGGUUCUCUUCGGCUUCUUCGUCUUUCUAAGGGGCCAUACAGUAUCCCCUUUUUCGCUCCGUCCCACCUUUCGAUAGACCCAAGAAGUCAAUGACGUCACCCGUUUAGCUGUCCUACGUUCAUCUACCUACCUGGUACAACCACAGCAGCCCAAUCAGGACCGUAUCUCUUGGAAAAUUUGGAAUCCAUUUUUCAAGAGAAAAUUAAUCAUUUAAUUAUUUCUUUUACGAAACAUUUUGUUACUGUUAUCGGAGAAAGUUGUCACGGAUGCAAUGAUUUAUUACAACUCGCAUUAAGUGCAGUUAUUUUUUCAUACAGCAUAUUAGAGAUACUAUUUUUUUUAUAAAUCACAUACGUUAUGUAUCAUUUUAUAGAAUACAUUAACUUUUUAGCCACGGCUAAGCUAUACGUGAAACUAUUCCGCUAUUCACACAGCUCAGACGUGAAUUAAGAAUACAAGUGUACUUUUGAUGAAAUAAAUUCAGAUAGCAGGCAUAUCCAAAAUUGAAAAACAUUACGUCUUGAAAACAUUACGACAUUCUUCAGACGUCUUUUAGAUGGCACCUAAAGAUAUCUUUAAAAUAUCUUAAGUACAUUUUAGACAUCAUGUUGCCUGGAAAAUAUAUCAAUCAAAACAACAGGACCUUUCUGCUUGAAAAUAGAUAGAGUAUCAUAAAGCAUAGAAAACCUAUUUAGCUUUUUGCUGUUUUGGCCCAAAAGAGCAAGGGUGACCAAUCCGCGAUACGACGAAAGAAAUAUAUAUUAUCAAAGGAGAAUUUAAAAAAUAACUAAAAAUGACACGGUAAAACAUGAAGAUCCUAUGCAGUGCUAUAUAUUGCAAACACAACUUCGCUGUAUAUACAAACUGUGCAAUUAUCACUAAAAUAGAGAAUGUAUUUUUGAGACGUCUUUCAAUAAAAUAUAGACACAUGUACAAAUUAGAUAGUAUACUCGUAUCCAAUUAACAAUAAGACUAAGACAUUUCAUUUAAGAUAGCAUAUUGCGAAGGAUUAAUUUUAUGCACAAGAACGUACACACACGUACCAAACAGGAAAUUGUAUCUAUUAAAUCUUGGAAAUAUUAUUUAAUCAAGAGGUGUGGGCACUGUCACGUAAAAAAAGUAGUCACUUACGCACAAGGACUUCGAACAUUUCCUCCCUCGUUUGCGAGACAGGAUGCAAAUCUAGUUAAGUUGUAAAAUACUUGACUCUGAACGAGUAUUACGGUAAUCUAUCCGUCUACACUUUCAAUCUUGAAGAAAAUCUCUGCAAUAGAGAUUUUCUCACAACAUUCUUCAGAAGAAUAGUUAACCAACAUUAAUUCUAAAUAAAAAGAAGCAACGAGAAAUAUAAUAUUAAAUAUAAAAUGUAAAAAGAAUAUUAAAGGAAAGUGAAGAACUAAUAGUUUAAAUCGGCUUCUAGUGCUCCGACACGCAAGUUCAAAGGAACUAUUAACGGCGGCCGGAAAUGAUCCGAUAAUAAUGGGAAAUUAUGUCAGGUGUCCGUAACCAAAGUGGCAAUUUGUAAAUGUGUCUCUACCACAAAUUGUUGCGGCGCGCACAAAAAAAAGUGUUACAAAUCCCGUCUUCAGCAAGAUUGCAAAAUACAAGUAUAUUGCGUGUUUUUUAAAGAUAACGGUUGUUAUUUGAUGACACCAACGAAUAUUCUUAAUUGAGCACUCCUCUAAUUAUACAGCCAUCUAUUAUCGUCAUCAUCUAACAACUAACUAUAUUCGGAAUACGAAACAUGUAUAGAUACAAGAAUUAUGCUUAAGUACUGCCGAUACGAUCUGUACCAUUAGAAACAUUGCACGGUUCAUAUCAAACAGCUGCAUCAGAAUUGAAUUCUCAUAAUGCCACGAUUAUAUAAAUUUUUAACGUCAUUUUGGCUUUUCAGAAAAUGCAAAUAAAUAAACAGGAAAUACGAAGGAAUAAUACUACCGCUUCCUGACUGAUCAUAAAGCUAAAUACAUUGUUUGCGCAUCAAAAAUUUUCUAUUCCCUUCCUGAUUCAGUAAUGUACCUUGAAUCGAUAUGAAAUGUUGAAAGUACUUGUAAGUUUAAAUACUUGUAAGUUAAUUUAAAGAAACAUUUAAAAUUGCAAGAUUUAUAUACUUUAAAAGUAUAUACUUAACACAUUCCUUAAAAAUUGACAAACAAAAAAGAUCGUAUCACAUAGCAAAGGGUUCUUAAAGGAUUCUCUCUGUCUCAUCCUCCCUUCCUCCAAAAUGCAUUCAUGAUGAAUCAUCUUAGGUAUUUCAUCCGGGUUAAAUUCUUCGUCGAGUAUAAAUUGAUCAUCAUAUUGGUAUGCAAAAAAAUAAUUUUUUUAAAUCUUUGUUAAAAUAUUUAAUAUAAAAAUAAUAUAAUUUUUUAAUAUGGAAAAUAGUUCUUUAAAAUUUAAUAUUAACAAGUAAUAAUUAGAUUAAUAAACUUACUUGUAAUUUUAAAAUAUAUGUAGAAAUAAUUAUUUACAAGCAAACUUACUUGUAAUCUUUCUGCAUAUUACAGAUAUAAUUAUUCAUAAUCAUUAUAUUUUAGGCCUUUAUUAAUAGAAAAUUAAUUGUUUAGAAAAAUAUUUAAAAAUAUAUUUUUAAAAAUGUUCAGUGUAAAUAAGGUAUCUGAAAACACGUUUCUGCCCAAUAAUAACAGGUAGAUCUUCUAUGGGAGAUAUAAUUUCUAGUUAAGGUUUGGGUCUCGUCCUAUAUAAGGGUGGGUCCUAAAAGUUAUCCAUAGUUCCUGACAUGAGAGGCACUAAAACCUAAACUCACUUGGUAAAGCUAUUAUCUCAAAUACCAAGAGCUUCUUUGUUUCCAAGUUAAAAUUACGUUACCUAAUAUUAAAUUGUACAAUUAUAAAUAAUAAUGUGAAUAAUUUACAUUUGACAUGAAAAAAUUAAGAUAAAGUAGUGCUUGCAAAAAUGUCAUCAUCAUUUGCAUUUUAAAUCACACAAUUAUUGUCACAUAAACGUUUUCAAAUUGUGUAAUCUUUAUAUCCCUAGUAACAUACUCUCUACAAUAAGAAAAUAUGCUUUGCUGAAUUACUUUUGAAUUGCGGCAAUUUUGGGCAAAAUUGCACCGGUUGAAAGACGAAUCUGGUAACAACGACGAAGCGUACACGUUCUUCCGACCGGUAAUUGUUCUCGCGAAUUGCGCGCGCCCGGUACCCUUACACCUGAAGCAAUUAACUCUCAGGAUUGCUAAUUAACCCUGUGAGAAGAUCGGUGAGGAACUUGCGUUUCCACCUACUUUUCGAGUAGCCUCGAGUACGCGACGUUACUAUCACAUCUAACUUGAAGCUAGUUCCUUCUUAUAAUAGAUGAAACAAUUGACCUUCCACGAUAAAAGCAGACAACGUUCGCAAUGAUGGACCAACGUGCGAUUAUAGUUGUGGCGCUCCUCGCCAAUCACGAACGAAAACCAAGAACAUCAUAGUCCGCGGAGCAUCGAUCCCGUUACAAUGGUUUAAUAUAUACGUACGAAGAAAAUAGCUUGCGCGUUGAAUGGAAAAUAAUAAGCUCCCUCACGCGUAAAAUAUCAAGAUAUUUUAUCUGUUGGACACACCCCAUUUUCGCUGUUACCGUGGGAUUAUUUCGAAAGACGAUUCUCAUUGAAUAUUAUACAAUAUAACGCUAAGCCGCCAGAGAUCAUCGAUACGGAAAAGUGUCAAGGUGGCGUAUUAUAAAAGCAACAGCUUAGAAUUGUCGUUGCAUGCCCAAGUACUAUAAGUAUCAAUCUUAUUAUAAUUAAAGAGAAAAACAAAGAGAAGAGCUAGUGAUGAACAUUUCACAGACGACUUCUCUGCGUAUUCAUCAGAAAUUCUUUGCAUUUGUCAAAUCAUAUAUAAAAAAAAUAAAUAAUUGCAUAUAUUAGAAGAAUUAUCUUCUUCCGCAAUUUUGAUUUACUUACCUUAAGUGCGCAGAAAAUGCAAGAUUCUCGCAUGCAUGCAUGUCCGGAGAGCUCUCUAAAGCUUCGUCGAAAAAUGUCGAGAUGCCAUAAGACCUAAAAAA